rnacentral:rRNA from 1 species
GAUCCUGGCUCAGGAUGAACGCUGGCGGCGUGCAUAACACAUUCAAGUCGAACGGACGACCCGGAGCUUGCUCCGGGAAGUUAGUGGCGGACGGGUGAGUAACGCGUGAGCAACCUGCCUGUGUGAGCGGAAUAACGUCCGGAAACAGACGCUAAUACCGCAUGACUCACGGACUUCGCAUGGAGACCGUGGCAAAGAUUUAUCGCAUACAGAUGGGCGUCGCGUCCGAUUAGGCAG